rnacentral:rRNA from 1 species
GACGAACGCUGGCGGCGUGCUUAACACAUGCAAGUCGAACGGAAAGGCCCUGCUUGCAGGGUACUCGAGUGGCGAACGGGUGAGUAACACGUGGGUGGUCUGCCCUGCACUUCGGGUUAAGCCUGUGAAACUGGGUCUAGUACCUGACAGGUGCCAUUUUUAGUGGGAUGGUUGGAAAGUUUUUUCGGUGUAGGGUGAGCUCGCGGCCUAUCAGCUUGUUGGUGGGGUAAUGGGCUACCAAGGCGGCGACGGGUAGCCGGCCUGUGAGGGUGGACGGCGACCCUGGGACUGAGGUAAGGCCCAGACUCCUACGGGAGGCAGCAGGGGGGAAGAUUGAACAAUGGGCGCAAGGCUGAUGCAGCGACGCCGCGUGGCGGAUGACGGCCUUCGGGUUGUAAACUCCUUUCGCUAGGGACGAAGCUUUUUGUGACGGUACCUAGAUAAGAAGCACCGGCUAACUACGUG